UGUCGUCAGCUCGUGUUGUGAAAUGUUGGGUUAAGUCCCGCAACGAGCGCAACCCUUAUCCUUUGUUGCCAGCGGUCCGGCCGGGAACUCAAAGGAGACUGCCAGUGAUAAACUGGAGGAAGGUGGGGAUGACGUCAAGUCAUCAUGGCCCUUACGACCAGGGCUACACACGUGCUACAAUGGCGCAUACAAAGAGAAGCGACCUCGCGAGAGCAAGCGGACCUCAUAAAGUGCGUCGUAGUCCGGAUUGGAGUCUGCAACUCGACUCCAUGAAGUCGGAAUCGCUAGUAAUCGUGGAUCAGAAUGCCACGGUGAAUACGUUCCCGGGCCUUGUACACACCGCCCGUCACACCAUGGGAGUGGGUUGCAAAAGAAGUAGGUAGCUUAACCUUCGGGAGGGCGCUUACCACUU
rnacentral:rRNA from 1 species